rnacentral:lncRNA from 1 species
UCAGUAACACCUAGCAGUAUAUAGUGGUAAUCCAGUAGAAUCAAAAAUAAUUCUCAAGAUUCAUGUGUGAUUCAGUCCUUCUAUUGUGAGUCCUGACUAGAUAGCAGGUCAUGGAUAAAUCAUCAAAUCUCAUCAUUAAUUAUAUGAUAGAUUCGAUCAGCUCAAGUCUAAUUAUGAUUCUUAUGAACACUCUUUUCUAUCAAUCACACUAUUGUGGUCACAGACUCUUGAACUUAGCCUCUCAAAUUUUAUAGGA